CCCCUGGUGGUCUAGUGGUUAGGAUGCAGCGCUCUCACUGCCGCGGCCUGGGGUUUGAUUCCUGGUCAGGGAA
rnacentral:tRNA from 1 species